rnacentral:ncRNA from 1 species
GUAUGGACAAGGGGAAUCUGACUGUUUAAUUAAAACAAAGCAUUGCAACGGUCCAUGUGGAUUUAUGCCCAGUUCUCUGCAUGUCAAAGUGAAUAAAUUCAACCAAGCAUGGGUAAACAACGAGAGUAACUAUGACUCUCUUAAGGUAAGAAAAUGUUUUGUCAUAUAAUUAGUGACACAGAUGAAUGGAUUAAUGAGAUUCCCACUGUCCCUAGCUACUAUAUAGAGAGACCACAUCCAAGGAAAUGGGCUUGUAAAAAUUAGCAGGGAAAGAAAACCAUGUUGAGCUUGACUCUAGUCCGACUUUGUGAAAUGACUUAAGAGGUGUAGAAUACGUGGGAAUCAUUUUCAACGCAAGUGAAAUACAACCAAUACUUUUAACAUUAUUUUACUUAUUUCAUGGGGCGGAGAUAGGGCACUGUGCAUAUGUUAAAAUAUAACACACAUUUCCUCAAAGUGUUUUCAUUGAUGGCAAUGGUCGAGAGCUCAUUCUUCACGAACUUGAUGGCAAUGACUUUAGGAAACCAAAGAGGAUCAUUGCUUUUAAGGACGUACAAAGUUUCUACAAAGAGGAUCAUAUGUAAGAUGUUAAUAUUUCUCUUGACCUUAUUCACCAACAU